AGCAGAGUAGCUUAGGUGGUAGAGCGCCUGCCUAGCAAGCACAAGAUCCUGAGUUCAAACCCCAGUGUUGCCA
rnacentral:tRNA from 1 species